rnacentral:lncRNA from 1 species
CAGAUGAUACCAUCAUAUAAGUAUCAUGAGAAAGAAUUAGGAAUCUCGCAGAACAAUAAGCUUAAAUUUUACAGCAAAUAUUACAAACACAUUUCACACAAUGUAAUGUUUUUCAGUUUGUAUUGCACAUCUCUUACUCCAUGCACAUCGUACAGAGUGUUGUUAUCCUUUCAUAACAUGUACUAAGUGACAAACAGGUAAAUAAAUACCAGGUAUUAUUUUUUCAGUUGAUGAACAAUCUUCUGAAGAAGAUUUCGUAGGGUGGGGUCGUCCUCCUUCUCCCUUAUUUCGGAUGAAUACUGAAACCACAAACGCCAUUCAAGGACCGACAGGACCACAUCCUGGUGUUCCGUCCCUUCCUCCCCCUCCUCAGCCGGGUAUCGCUUAGAUGUAACGAGGCCUCUGUGGUUGUCAGUAUGUCGUGUCUGCUCCAUGGUGUAAUUAGUCAUCUGUCUACAGGUGGUGAUGCUAAAUUUAUUUGACAUACUCUCGUUUUAAACGGCAUCCUCUUCAACCAUUUUAUUUAGUGAUCUUAAAAGACUUUGCGAUUGUUGACUGUGAAGUAUGUUUUCUAUUCCUCUCUUGAAGCAUGAGUGGAAAUAUCACUUUGUACUCAAAUACACAAAUAAGAUCAAAUAUCGUCUUCCUCUUGGUGAGCUACCAUUCUCACACAUCUACAGUCACACGUACACGUGAGGACAUCUACUCCGUGAUGUCAGACCACGUGUAAACACGUGACCCGAAUUUGGCAACAAACCGUAAAAUUCGUGUCUGCCGAAAUGUGUAUUAUUUGAACUCAUUUAAAACGCUUUUCAUUUAGUUUUUGAGCCUGUAUGCAUUAAUGCUGAAACGCUUCGUGAUUGAAUAAUCCUUUGUAUGUUGAUCCUUGUCUCUGAAUAAAACUAAUAGUUUGUUGUUCAAUACUUCAAUACUUGUUCAAUAAACUUCACUUUGAGAUAACGGCCUUAGAUGCAUUACUGUGUUUGGUACUGUCAAUGCAUUACAGGUAUUAUUAAUAAUAUUUAUCUUAGUUACUGUAUUGGAACGAUUGUGUGUGACUGACACCAAUUUAAUGGUCUGAAUGGGUUUGAAAUGUUAGUGUGGAGAUGCAAAAAGAUUGGUUGAAAACUAUUUGUACAAAACGAAAUAACCCUAAUUCUGCUGUCCCAUGGAGGAAAGCAUUUAAACAAAGUUUAGAAAAAGGAAAUGUUUUGUUAAGUCAGUGGAAUCCCUCUGUGAGGCGAGUUCGGAGUUUGAUAGUUGUGUGACACUUGUCUUUUGAACAGAAAAAGUUCGGCAAAGCCCUCUGUGAAGGGGUGAGUGAGGAGAUUUAUAUCUGUGUGCCGGUGUUAUUCCUUGGAAUUUGUUGAAGUGACCAAUGAUCUUACUUUGUGUACGGACGACCUUUCAAACAAACCUUUUUGUUGAAUUGAUAAAGACUAAAUCACCAGGGAGAUAAUUACCGUGUGGCAAAUGUGAUCUUCUAAAACUGAGUGGAUUAUAGUGUUUAAUUUCUAGAAUGCUGAUACGCUCACGAACAUAUUCCAUCACCAUCUUUGGUGACCGUCCAUCGGGUGGGAUGGUUAAAGAGUUUAGCUAUUAUUUUGUU